CGAGCCGCACUUAACGAGGAAAACAAGACGAUGUGAUCCUUCGUGCAAUAUCUUUAAAUUCGUGUGUAAUGGGUUUACACGCAUUGUAUAUUUUAUGAAGCAAUGAUUGGCGAUUGCCAAAACCAAUUGGCGAUUCAGCAGCUGCUACCGCAUCGAAAGUACCGGCGGCCAACGACUUCCUCGUUACUUUCACGGAAGACAUAUUGGAGGACUUGACUGCGAAGAAGGAAAUAUAUUCUACGAUCGUUACCAAGGAAACAGGGCAUGUGGCACGUUUUUAUUGACAAGUAAAAGAAACCAAAAGAAGGAGCAAGCUGAACGCAUUGGAGGUUGUAAUAUUUACAGGCGCAAUAAAAGUACGCUUUUAGCAACCCAUUCAUCGAAACCUUCUGUUGGUGGAACACAACGUCGCGGAAUUUUGGUCAUACAAUAAUGCCAAAUAUGCGUGAAAAGAAUGCGAUUCGGAGAUGUGCGGUUCAUAUGGCAGUUUUAUUGCUUUUUUAAGCAGUUUCAGGCGCAUCCCUUACGCCCAUGGAACAAAAUGGCCGACUGAGUAUCCAUGGAAACACUCUCUCGUGGCAAGAAGGGAUGAAGGAAAUUGCGUGCGCGCCACGUCAACCAAAAGAAGGGGUGGAUGCCCCCCGGAUGACGAGGGAUACGAGCUGACAUAUUUCUCGUAUCUCCCAUCGAACGAGCCAUCUAAUCUACAGGCCCCGUUCUUCGCCAUGGGGACGACGAUGACGAUGAGACCGUUAUUAUGUGCUCGAGAAUUUGCAAUCUAAUGCAGUUUACGUGGUCGUAAAAGGGGUGCGACUUAGUCCGCUCUUUUUCUUAAUCUACAGGGAGCGUAUACGGAAACCGCCAAAUGGUCUCGUAAACGUGGAUCAUCAAUAAAUUUUCUUUCUCUAAACGAAAGUUACCGCGAUGGUAUAAACACUAGCCCAAGUGGCGACGCUAAAAAUAUGAAUUAACAAUGGGUCGGAUAUGAUGCGCUGACGCAUCUGGUUAAUACACGUAUGCACAUAGCUAAUCAUGGGAUACUUUUGCUGCUUAUGAACGACAUAUCGAUUAAAUCAUAUACAGAGUCGUCUACAGAGAAUAGAUUUAA